rnacentral:rRNA from 1 species
CAGAGGGUGCAAACGUUGUUCGGAAUUACUGGGCGUAAAGCGCGUGUAGGCGGCUAUGCAAGUCGGAUGUGAAAGCCCUCGGCUCAACCGGGGAAGUGCACCCGAAACUGCAAAGCUAGAGUCUCGGAGAGGAUCGUGGAAUUCUCGGUGUAGAGGUGAAAUUCGUAGAUAUCGAGAGGACCACCUGAGGUGAAGACGGGUUGCUGGGCCGACACUGACGCUGAGUGCGCGAAAGCCAGGGGAGCAAACGGG